UGAAAUUCAUUAUAGUAGUAAUUAAUCCUACCGACCCUCGCGGACAUAUUCGGACCUCAUCGCGCGAUACAUUCCUUCCCUCCCCACCGGGAUACGUCGCGUUACGGGCGCUUCUCAAGUCCUCGCGGCGUUUCUUUUCACUUUCGUCCCCCCUUUCCUUACCCUACAUCGACGACGCAUCGCUGACACGGCAAACAGUUUCGCUUCCGGACUUCGCCGAGAACUUUCUCAAUGAAGGGACUCAAGAAAUGUGACUCACCUCUAUCUACGUUGGAGAAUUAUUCUUCCCUCCCCUGUUCCCUCCUCUGUUUCCUCCUCUCCGUGUAUCAUUACUGAGAAGGUAUCGAUACGAUCUCCAACAAAAAGUGACGUUACGUUGUUAGGAGCACAACUGUUGAAAUUUUAGCGUGUAUUUCGAUUCCGCUAUUGGUUCUAAACUUUAUAAAUUAGCGAACAAAUGUUUCUGAUAACUGUUAAUAAUAUUUUACACACUGUCUACGUGUAGUCUUAGUUUUUAAAAAUAUCGGACGUGACAAUUUGGAUAACUAACCUGCAACAUUCCACUUGUCCACCUGUCACCGUAUAUUUCAAUGCUUAUCUUCGUUUUUAUUUGAUAUCAUUGUAAUAAUUUUUUUUAACACCGUUAUGCCAAGCGUUAUGUAUAUUUUUUCAGUUCAAAAGCAUAAUUUUGUUAGCUUGUUUUUAUAAAAAAAGAAAUUACACGGUAAACGGAGUUUAAUUUUGGUAAUAUAUUCUAUAUAAUUUCUAAGUUGAUUGAAACAUUUUAACGUUUCGAUCAUAUCUCCUUAAUAAGAAAUUCUCGUUGCUAAAUUUUUAAUAACGAGACUUCCUAUCGCCUUCCGUCAUUUGGAAUUAUACAUUUCUGAUUGUCGAACGAAAUUUAUUACAUCGAGGGGAUUAAUUUGACAUUACACUUUCGAGAUUUCUUCGCGAUUUUUUUCCAAGCUCGCAAGAUAAAGAGCGGAAUAAUACAAAGCUUCUUGCUGUGGUUUCCUUUAAUAAUUCUCAGAUACAAAUUGGGUCACGAAUUUCCGUCAUUGAACCGAACAAAAUUAAUAAUGACAGCAGCUGUUCGGCAUAAGACUUUAAAGAGCUCUCUUGCGCUCUCGGCGUGUCGGGAUUGAUAGAUUCCAUCAAUUCGGAUGUCGAUUCGCGGUUUUUCGAGCAUCGCCUUAAUGGCGUUACCGUUAAACGUAUUUGCGGGAAUACGUUAUUAUGUACAGGAGCACCGGGAAAGGCGAGAAUAUCCCGACGAUUUCUUCUCGCGAUGUCAUCUAAGAAUCUUAUCUCUGUAAUAACAUAUCCGAGAGUUUCAGCGCGCCGCUUAACUUUAUUAUAAAUAUCUUUGCCGUACGGAGAUCCGUAUCGUAUCGAGGGCGAUUCAAUUAUCUCGCGCAUGAAACAUUUAAACGUAUAUUUCGCGAAUUGAAUUAAUUAUCCGUAUCCGACUUGCAUACCAGCGAGUAAAAUCGCGAGUCCGCGAUAAACGUGGCGUCCAUCAUCCUCUGUUAAUUUAUCAUUUUUAUUCUCUCCUUGGACAGUUUCCUUCCACCGUGCGUUCUGGAUAAAAGUCGUCCGAUUUACCGCAUCCAGUACCGUUUAAAAGGGUAUUCUAGUUUAAAGCGUGAGAGAUUCGCCUACUUUUCGCAGGUUUUUUUAAAAACUGUCGCACACAUUUUUCCUAUGCUUUUAUUUAUCUGCUUAUUCAUAUUAUUUAAUAGAUAUCUACAAAUUUUUGUAUGGCUCAAUUAUGUGUUACGUAAAAUUAAAUAAAGCCAAACACAUUUUUCAAAUCAGUUGACAUUUCUGAAAAAAGCUAGGUACUUAAAAAUAAGUAUCGAUUUCUUAAAAUAAAAUUGAUUAAAUUUAACGAAGAAACAGUUAAUUUAUAGAUCCUGUAAUCUUGGUUUACGGUUGUUAGAUAUGUAGUUUACAUUAUAUAUAUACAAAAGUUGAAGUCGAUAACCUCUUAGAAACUUUAAAUUUCUACAACACAAAUGCUGAUAAACAUUCAGCCGUACAAAAAUCUGUAGAUAUCUGCUAAAUUUGUACAACUAGAUGUGUAAAAGCUUAGAGGAAUGUGUGCGGCAGGUUUCCUUUUUAAAAGUUUCGCAAAAUAGGUCACUCUUUUCUGCGCUCUGGAUCAGAAUACCGUCUUAAAUCAAGAUCUCAACUCGCUUCUUAACUCGACGAUCGCACACGCGUGCGACACAGGAAAGAGAAUAGACACAGGAUCCUCCCGUAUAUUCGAUCCGCAGCAGAUGUCUCGAUAGAAACCGAUGAUUAAAUGAAGAACAGCUCCUUAUCCAGCGCUAUGAAAUUAAUUAAUCGGCCUCUUCUUCCCCUCGCUUUUGCAUCGAUCUAAUCCAUUCCGGUGGAUUGUUAAAUAAUGCGCGAUCCCCUAAUCGAAGCCGACGCGCGCUAUUUCGAUCCCCCGAGCGGCGAACAGACGUGAAUUUUGAAUAAAUUUCAGAAGAAAGCGCGUCUCGAUUACACUUGGAACUCGAUCGCGGCACUUCAGAUUAAUCGACGCGACUUCCGAUGGAUUUUUAAACCGAUCCUACCGCGAUUGAAUUUAUAGUCGUAUCUAUAGAGCCGACUCGAUAUGCACUUUGUGUCCGCGACGUCCCGUCUCGACUAAUAUUUUCAUUCAUUCAGGCUAAUCAGGAAGACGCAGAGAGCAAUUUUCGUUAGCGUCGGAUUCCGGAAGUGCACUGCGUCGCGAGAAUAUAAAAAAAAGAAACGAUCUUUUCGAGAAAAUCGUUUGCAGCCUUCGGAGAUUAAACGCUCAUACAUUAAGGGAAAAGAAAUUGUUGAUUUGAUUCACCAAAUAUUUCAACUUGAUUAAAUAUCUUUGGCUCAGGUAAUUAAAUAUUUAACCGGAGUACACAAAAUUCUUCAAUAUGCACUUUAUUUCAUGUAUUUCAGUUAAAUAUACUUUCUGAAUCUUGUAGAAUGAAAAAUGAGCAAUUAUUCGCUACUCUGUAAGAAUAAAAAUUUACUCUAAAUACUAAACAGGAUUUCUAUAGAAGGAAUUUUUUGUACUUUUAUUAAAAUAGCAAGUGACACGAAUAAUUGCACAAAUACAAUUUUCACUCUCUGUAAGCGAUGCUUCUAUGUACGAAAUAUAGAAAAUAUAAAUAUUUGAAUUGAAAAGAAUUUAAUCAAAUUGAAAAUUUAUUGAAAUUAACAACGUGUUUUUUUCUCCCCGGCGCACCGAAAUAUCCCUCGCAAUAAAAAUGCAAUCGCUCGCAUAACCAAAACUCCAUAUCUCACCGUGAGUUCCGCGCGCUCACGCUCACGGUGUCGGUUAUCCCAUAAAGGACAAGAAUUGACUGCGAAUUUCUCAAGGAUUCCGAAGUUUCGGAGGCACGAAAAGCUCGCGGCCGAAAGCCGUCGCAGCUUUAUCUCGCGAAGAGCAACGCGAAUCAGUUUACAGCCGGAGAGGGGAACGCGCACACUGUAUUAUUCAGUCGGGGGGGGGGGAGGGGGAAUAAAGGGAAGGAAGCCGCGAGUUGUGCUCUCGCAAGAGCGAGGCUAAGCUCACGCCGAAGGGCGAAUUAAGCGUCGAACCCGCGAUCAGGAACUUUCAGAGGCAACAAAUCGGACUCCGAGCUGAUUGGACGCGCGAUGCCGCGCGGAAGGAAUACGGAGACACCGCGAGGAAACUCGAAAAUGAAAAGGGGAAAGAGGAGGAAUAAAAAAAAAACAGGAAAACGAACGAAAGAAAGCAAGGGCAGAGAGAGAGAGAGAGAGAGAGAGAGAGAGAGAGAGAGAGGAGGGGGGAGAACGGAGAGGGGAAUAAAGAAGGCGGAGAAGAUCGAUGUGUCGUCGUCGUCGUCAUCCUCCGAAUCGCGAACGCGAAUAACGUCGCGGGAGAGUAUCAGUCGGCGGAGGUAAUCUCGCUACUUCGGCGGCUCAUUGAAAUCCCACGCUAAAUUUCAAUCUGACGUGUACAAAAGUCAGGGGCCCUUUCCCCUUCUCCCCCUUCCCCCGGUCGCCAACCCUUCCCCGUUCGCCCGCCCAUCCCGAUUCACAGACUCCGUUUCGAGACUCCGUUAUAUCGGUGGGACUCGAGCUCCAGGCAACGGUCCAUUUCCGCGAUCCUCAUCUUCCCCGUCUUCCCUCUCUCUCUCUCUCUCUCUCUCUCUCUCUCCUUUUGCUACCGCCUUCGAUUCCUCCACGAACACACGCGACGUCUGGACUAAUGUAUACGCCGUAUACGGGGUGUCCCGAAACCUGGAGCCUCUUCUCUCCCGAGCGUACCUGCUGCUUGGGAGAACGUCUAAAUCUAUGUAUCGGGUUCUUGUAAAUAUUUGAGCAACGGAUUGACAUAAAAUUACGGACUCUCCCGGAAGGAUUCGAGGAGGAUCGCGAGGAGGAACGGGGGAGGAGGGGGGGGGGGAGAGAGAGAAGAAUCCGGCGCGAAUGAUUUAUGCGGGAGGACGAUACUGAAAUUUUACUAAAAAUGUAUGUACUAAGAGCUUCCUGGCUUGCGAGCCUUCCGGCUUUGUGAGUUCUCAGAAACUGCGCGCUCCUCUCGUGCGCGAUACUCUCGUCAUUUCAAUAAGUUGGGAAAUGAAAAUUAGAGACGCUCAAUAAAUUCUUAAAUUUUACAUCACCCGACACGAAACCAGCACAUUGACUCUUCCCGCACCUUUCAAUUCCGAUGUUAUCAAGGAUUAUUUCAGGUUCUCAAAAUAAAACACUUUGAUCUUUCGAUCAAUGACGAACACUUGACAAUUGUUUCUUUUUAAUUUCGAAUUGCUCGGAUAUCUUAAAGGGGAAGCUGGAGACGGGUCUAUUUUAUCGAUAAAGCAGUAAUUUUUGUCGAAUAACUAUGUCUCAUCGCUUUUAUAGAUUUGAAAAUCCUUUUCCGUGAAAGUAUUACUACCAGUCUGAAUUACGGAAUUUAUGAAAAUCGGAAAAAAUUUAUAACUCAUUCGAUAUUUCUUAUUAUUUCUUAGUUCAGAAUGGCGUGUGGGGCUGUCACAGCAUAACAAUUUGCUUGAUGACAAAAAAUCUGCAAUUUGUACUCACGACAAUUCGCGAGGUUCCAGACACGUAGAUGACAGGAACAAACAAUGUGGAGUUUCUAAAGUUAGACUUUGACGCCUAAUUGAGACGAAAUCGUUCUACGUAAAUUUAGACGUAAAUUUAGACACGUGCGAGACGUACAUACAUACGUACGUAAGUAGAAUAACAUGAAAAAUAUUUUGUCGUUUUCGAUAUAAAGUCCAAUUCACAGGCUGAUAUUAAUACGUGUUUUUUUUUAUUUUGAAAAAGGAUUUUCCAAAUCUAUAAAAGAAAUACAUGCAAAAUCUUGAUAAUAAUGUGCAUUAAUUCUGCAUCAUCGACUUUUUCAUCAAAUUCGAUCGUCAUUCCAGUAUUACCUUAACUUUUACGGCAAAGAGGUAGGUUCUGGUACACCAUGUACGUAUGUCUGUACGCAGUAUACUCGCUUCUCUCUCCCCUCUCUUCCCUCGCUCCCUGAAGUCCUUUUAAAGCCACCCCUCGCUACCUCCCGUCCGCGGUGCAUCCCUAACGUCCGUUUCUCUCGCCAAUACCGAACGUCGUAGUAUCGGUUUGUAUACACACGGACGGGAGGGAUACGUAGGGCGUACCUAAUUAAACUUGGGGAAAGCGACCAGGCACGUCGUAGACUUUCAGCACACGAGAAGAGAGAUAGAAUCUUCUUGCCUCCCCCCUUUCCGCGCGACUCCUUAUUAAAGUCGCAACCCUUAAAGACCCGGUAUUUUAUUCCACAUACGUCACACGCUUAGAAAUCCCGCUGUUUUCACGCACUCACGGCGAAAUUCUUCAGUUCCUCGUCUCAGCGAUAUUAACUGUCCAAGCUAGGACACACCGAUCCAGGUGACUUUUCCUAUCUUGCCGAUUUUGCCUCAAAUUCGGACGUGUCUAAAAAAAAGCCGAAAACGUUGUGGCUCAUAUAAUUAUACAAUCGCGUAUUUUCAAACAUUCAUAGAGCAUACUAUAAUUUUUUCUUGAACUCGAAAUUUUUUCGAAAAACAACCGUCUUCUAAGUGUUAAUUGAUCUAAUUAAGUAAUAAAAAAACAGGUUAGUCUAGAGUUAAUUUGAACAAAACGAGUAACGUGUAUUAUAUUAUAUAUCUUAAUAACAACUACGUUUUGUAAUAACGAUAAUAACAUUAGAUUUAACUAUAAUGACGCUCAUAAUAUUAAUAGCUGAUGCGCCACGAGACAAGGGGGUCUUUCUUUCAACAGACCGAGUGCUCUCUUUUUCUUCUUGCCGGCCUUAACUCCCCUCUUCCCCCCGAGAGAGGGGCUCUAGAUCCCCCCAAAAAGGCUUCGAUUCUUUUUACAUGAUUUUUCGUACGCUUCCUUGACGCUCCCGUUCUCGCGGUUCAAGUAUUUAUUGUCCGGCGACGUUGAAGGGCUUCGACGAGAUGAAACAAGGGGGUGACGGCUGAAAGGGGGAGGAGAAGGGCGGCUAGGCGGCGGCGGCUUUUGUUCGGCCGCGGAUUGAAAUUUAGCGUGGAAUUACAAUGAGUCGCCGAGGAAGCGGCGAGAUUACCUUUCUCAGCUGAUGCUACCUUCGACGAAGGCUUCGCUUCAUGGCUCUCCUGCCAUGUUGUCCGAUUUAUGCAUGAAAGGGCCGGCAUCUCUCGCCGGCCGGUCGGCCGGCAAUCGGCCUUUUUCUUUUCCCCCUCGAUUUUUCCGCCCCUUAUUUCUCCGUCAGCCAGCCGGACCGAGAGCUUAUCCGUUAUUAGCCGAGAGCCUCCUGUUAUCAGCAGAAUUCCUCUCAAUAACACGCGGGUUCUCUUUUGUAAUUAAAAUAGCCCCUCGCUGCACACUUAUAAAAUUAUACAUCUAUCGAAAGAGGCCGCGCGCGCACGCACGCACGCUGGAAAAGCGAGAGAGAGAGAGAGAGAGAGAGAGAGAGAGAGAGCCGCGGCGCAUCGAUGGAGAAUUUUCCUCCCCGAGACAACUUGAGACCCUUUUGAGAUCUCGGGAGAACCGAGUUUGCCGCGUUAGAAGCUGCCGUUAAUCGCGGGAAAAUCCGAAACUUAGCUCGGCCCGCGAUCUCCGUAAUUACGUCGUAGCCUUGUACCGCGUACAAGGCUCAAAAAUCCAAGGUUGCCGGUGGUAAUUACGCGGCCCCGGGAUAACGGAGAUCCGAGGUCGCGGUUCGAGGAACGCAUGGGAAUCGUGCCGUUCGCCCAAUCUGUAUCGAAUAAAAAUAUACUUCUAUUUAAUUGUGCACAUGUAUAAAUAUUUUGUAUUUUUCUUUAAUUAUUAGUUACGUGUUAUGUAUACAUAAUAAAUGUUAUUUCUUAUUUAUCAGAAUUUUAUACAAAUACGUACGUUCCUCUCUAAAACUCGUAAUUUAAAUUUAAAAUUACAUGAUGACAAAUAAUCACAGAAUUGAAUAAUGCAAAAUAUUUGCAUGCAUCCCAAGUAGAACACGUACUGGUAAAGCAAAGUUUUUCCAUCAUUUCUUCACAUGUAUAAGAAUUAAUAUGAAAUAAGAAAAUUAAUUUUCGAAACCGGGAAACCCCAGGAUUCACAUUCAUAUGUGUAAUAAAAUAUUUUUUUUCAAAACGAAAAUAAAAUUGCAUUAUUCUGAUUGUGGACAGUGAAUAUAAGUAAAAUUUCUUAAGUAAGAAAAACGUACGUCUUUCUACAAAACCCUUCAAAUUUGCAUUUGAAAAUAGUGCACAAGCACAAAACGCAAAGAAUAAUGUAGAACAAUAUUUAUAUCCGACUAAGUGGUGGCGCUUUUGUACAGCUAGAAGGACGAAACUAAAUUUGGCACGCCGUAGAGAACUUCUUCUGGCUGUCGGGUAAAAGAGAAACGCGGGACGCCGUUUUCCCCUUCGCGCGCUCUCGACCUCGCCUCGGCCUUGUUUGGGCUUCGGAUAAAAUCCCCUCGGUGGCUCCCCCGGGGGCGCGAUUCGGCAUGGUAGUCUUUAAAGCGCAGUUUCGGAAUAGGAAUGUGGGCACAAGGCGGCAUUUCGCUGCGAGCGCACCCGCCGCCUCGCCCCGGCAUCUCCGCGUAGCUAAUUACCUCGUUACUAAUGAAACUAAUUGCUAUCCUACCCGCCGCGCUCUUUGAUCUAGCCCCCGUUUAAAGAUUUCGCCGUAAUCCUCCCGGCGCUCUCUCUCUCUCUUUCUCUUUCUCUCUCUCUCUCUCUCACUCUCUCCUCGCCAUUCGUCCGCCUUGUCGGGCGCACACCCAGCCGCGUAAUGCACCUUCCGCAUUAAGUCCCGCGCUGCAUCGCGCACGUGGCGCGAUCUAAAUAACGCAAGAUCAAGAAUUCGCGAAGAAUCACCUUCGCAGCAAACUGCAGCGAGAGAUGAUGUUGCCUGUGACAGAGUCGCGCGGCUCAGUCGCGAAAUUCGUUACCCUUUCAGAGUUUCUCUCUUUGCAAUUAGAAAUUAAGAGGCUUUUUAGUGAGAGAUUUUAGAAAAUUAAACGCAAAAUUAAGAAAAUUAGUAAACAAUUUCGAGAUUUUUUUUUAGCUCUGUUUAAUUUUAUUUAAUUCGAGAGAUGUAUCUAUAUAUUUGUUAUUUUUAUCUUUGACGUAUUUAUCUUUUUGCUUGACAAUAUAUUAGUCUAAAAUUUAAUAAACCGGCUCCAAAAAUAAUUUUUUUAAAUAUACAUUUUGUUUUAAAAAUUUAACUACAAUUUCGUACAUUACAUUACUCUCAUGUUAUUUGCCCAUGAGUUGUUUCGACUUUAAUUUAAAAAAUGUUGAAUAUCAAUUUAACGCAAAAUAUUCUGAUAACAUAAAUACAUUAUGUUAAAUUAGCACUCAGGUAUGUUAAAAACUCAAGAUAAACAAUUUUAAUAUAUACACAAAAUAUUUUCUACCGUGUAAUUGCAUUAGAAAGUUCUACUUAAACAAGAAUUAGGCAAAGAAAUGUCACAGGGGCUGGGGGUUAUCUCACAAUUAAAAGUUGAAAGGCGCGUGGUCGACAUCUACACGGGCAGUCCCGAAUCCCUCGUGGGAAAGCCGAGGGAUGCUCGGCAAAAAGUUUCCGCGGCGAAGCCACGUCUCGCCUAAUAAGAUCAAUUUUUCGAUAACGAAGUGUUUUGUGUUCUCGCUAACGUAUGGGGUAGUUGGGAAUCGAUGGAGGCGGCGGUUUGGCUCGAUGGUGCGAGGCGCUUGUUGCCGCUUUAAAAUCAGCCCCCGAAAGUCGCUAAUGUCCCGGACGGGGGAUCCCUGUCCGUUUCCGAGGGGGGGAUUUCCUCUAUCGAACGGAGGGGCAAUGGCUCGUGCGGGACGAUCGGAAACUGUUAAGACACAGUGUUAUCGGAUAGCGUAUCGGAAGAAGGCGACGCUUUUAAUUUCUUCUCGCGGCUGGCAAUUUCUCGUCGUCCGCUUGCAGCUUUCCUUCGACAUAUACGUACCGAGUACGUUUACAUUAUGUACAGAGUGUUUCUAAAGGGAAGGAACAUUUUGAAUUUGUUUUUACAAUAAUUUCGUUACGGAUAAACAGAAAUAAUUUACUUGAUAAAAUUUUUAUUGCAUAUUUGUGAAAUUUAUUAGCGUGCUUGAUUCAUGGAAGUAUAUUUGAUCACUUCACCGUUGCUGAGCGCGCGAAAUUCUAGUCAUUUAUUAUUUUCCGACUCUUCUCAUUUGAAAAUUAUACCCUCAUUUUCAAUGUUGUUUUAGAAUGUCGCAAAGAAUCUGUCAACGUAUUGAUCGCCAGUUUAUUAAAGAGAGCCUGUACAUAAUAUGAUUUUGUACAUUAACGAUGAAGAUUGUUAUUAUUAAAUUUUAUUUUAUUACUUUUUAAUUUUAAUAUUAAAUUAUUGUUUGUUUAUUUUGUGACAGCCCAUACUUUGGCUUUAACUCUGUUUUGUAUAUAUAUAUUUAUUUAAUUUUAUUAUUACAAAAUUGAAGAGAAAAAAGAAACCUGAAAUUGAAAAUCCCUUAAAAGCCAUCGACAAAACGCAGAUACAAACGCGCAAAAACAUAUAACAAAACACGAUGACUUUUAUCACGAAAGCUCCGCGUCGCAGAUGUUUAUAUUUCGCAAGUUUACAUAAACUUUUAAAUGCUUCUAAUCGCGAAAUUUUUGUCUCUCUAGCCGAAGUCUAGCAAAUCGCCUUCGCGAGCUGAUAAAUGACAUUUUUUCCGACGUCUUCUGAAAGAAAGUCGAGUCACCCAGCAGCAUCGCGAAACACCCCCCUCCCCUUUCUAUUCCCUCGUAAUCGCGGGAUGUCUCCGUUAGGCUGAGCCGCUUCGGAAGCGGAGGAAAUCGGAGGCAUUAGUUUAUCGGUGACGUUCUUCAGGAAUGCAUUCCUGGCACCCCAUUCAUUCUCGUCGAUUUUCUUCGGCGACGUCGCGCGCGUAUCUAAUGCGAGGAACAAACGUCGCGCCGGCGAGAUACGAGCGAUUUUUCAUUUUCGUGGCCCACUAAAUAAAUGCGCUGGAAGCACCCCCAAAAAGAGAGGGGGGAGGGGGGGAAGAAAGAAGAGAGAGAACGAAGCGAUUGUCGAGCGCCCUCGUAAUGUUCGAAUUUGCCGGGUAAAGAUUCAGGGACUCGAAAGGACGAAAAAAUUAUGAAGCCCUUGAGAGCGGAGGUGGAAAGAGCCCCUUCGAAGAAAAUUAAUAUGCAAGAGGACGCACCCCCGCGCAUUUUCGCGAUGAAUUCGUCGCCGCGCUGGCGAGUGUGGCGAUCUUUUUUUUUUUUUUUUUUGUUUUACCUCUUCAAUCGCGGGUAGUCACUUUGUCGCGAAUGAAACAGCGACGCCUGAGUGACCCGAAUGCUAAAAUAAACGGACCAAUGGCCGUACGGUCCGUCCGUCCGUCCGUUCUUCUCCUAGAUGAGAAUACAUCAGGCGUCCAUCAAAGUGUCCCGCGCGCGCGACGAUACCGCGCAGAAUCUCUUUCCAAAUCGGGUUUCGAUUCGAGCGUGAGUCGAUAAGUCGAGCGGGAUACGCGAACGAGCGAGUCGUCGACGUGCGAGCGUACGUCAUUUUCUUUCCCGCGAAGAAAAAGCUAAAUAGAGAGAUAUAUAUAUAUACCGAGAAUGUCGCGCGCGGUUUUACUCAGAUUCCGUUUUCGCGGAAGAAUAAGAGGCCGAUUAAUAAUUCUCGCCGAGCGAGAAGCGAAAUCGAUCGCCGGCGAGCGUCAAGCGCAUUCGAGAGCGAAUCCUCGCGCCGGGCGAUCGAUCGCAAUUCUCGCCCGCUGUUUUAAACACGGUCCUCGAAUUCGGAAGGACAUGAGAGGAGACGGGUGGGGGGGCGAGGGGAAAGGGGAGUCCAGGGCAAUGGGGAGGAUGGGAUACAGAGGGAACAAUGAAUUAUUUUUGACCUCUCUGUUACGUGAAUUCCGCGCUCUCGGAAAAUCUCGCCGACACAUCGCCUUCAUAUUAGCUUUGUUUACAUGGCGGAAGGUAAUUAGUCGAGAAUCGACGAUUUUUCACGAGCGCUGCGCUCGCGGAAAAUGGAAUUUCAAUGAUUGCCGACAAAGUCAAUCAAGCGCAGAAUGUAAUUAUUGCGGAAAUAAAAAAAAAAACGCGGAGAGGGAGGAGAGGGGAAGAGGGAGGGGGGAGGGGAUGAAAAAGUGGUACGCUUCGAAAAUCGCGCGUGUUAUUACAAACUGCGCCAUUUUGUUAAACAAAUUAAACAUAAUGACGUGUGCGCGCAACACAGGCGCGCGCGGAGUGCGGCAAUUUUAUUUUUAAUUUGACGUGUCUGUUAAUAAUCGAAAUUAAUCUGAAAUAAUCGAUGCAAUCGUACAAAUAAAAGGGCAUACCUUUUUAAUGUCACCUCAAAAUUACAUUUUAAAUAAAACGGAAUUACGGGACAAUCAAUAUCGAUAUUACGUUGGCAAUUAAGGUAAACUCCCGUCGACAAUAAAAGUCCCGAGAUAUAAAAGUUCCAACCGUCCGCCCGCGGAAGAAAAACGUCGCGCGCUUUCUUCUUCUGAGGAAAUGCUAAAAAUCAGCGAACGUUACACUUCCAAUUAUCUUUGCACGUAUGUCCCUUUUCUACCACAUAACGGCGCGAACAUUUUCUACAGAAAAAAGAUCAUCGCCGAGCGUCUUGAGAGUUUUCGGUAAAAUUGCCUUCUCUCUCUCUCUCUUUCUCUCUCUCUCUCUCUUUCUCUCUCUAACCCCGAAGAAAUGAAACAUGUCGGGAAACGGGAAGCACCACUGGACUCUCGAAGUGGCUUGUUCGCGAAAUAAAGUCGCGGUAUCAGGGGUUAAGCGGAUAGAUAGAGAGCGGGAAAGAGCAAAAGAUAGGGAGAAGGAAAGAGGAAAACUACUAGAUGGAACCAGUCAGGGUUCACCACCCCGCUCAUCCUUGCAGUCGCUGUCACAGCUCUCUCUCUCUCUCUCUCUCUCGCUCGCUCGCUAUAUAGUUUAGUCGAACCCCGUGGCCAAUGGCGGUACGCAGCUGAGCCAUUAUUGGAAACUCGUUACAUGCACGGUGCCACCAGCGCCGCCGUUACAAAGGCGCUGGCCCCCGGUGGCUGGCCGUGUUACACGAGUACCCGAGGAGGAGCGAGAGAGGAAGACCCGCGCGCCGCCGUCGUCGUCGUCGUCGUCGUUAGAUCGCAAGCCGACGUUAUAAUGCGCUGCCGACUGACGUGACGCAGUACAUUGCAUCGUAUAUCGCGAUGGGCGAGGGGGAUGAGACGAGGGUUGUCUCCGUUUACGCUCGGGUGCACGCGGGGCGCCGAAUUUCUCGUCCCGUCUCCCCCAGCCCUUCGAAGUUAAACGUCUCGUUUCCGCCCUCGGCGUGUGUGUGUGCGGCUUCUCCCUUUCCGGGGGAAGAGAGAUGCUCUCGCUCCGAAUUAUUAUCGUCAUCUAUACGCCGUAAUUUACAUGCAGAUAUCGGACGUCACACAUUGUCCCACAAUUAGCAGAUUUGGAGGGUAAAUUUCAAGAGAAAAUUCUCUCCGUGCAUCAGAGGGACACGCGAUAACGGGGGGAUCCCCUCGAAGUUUCCCGAGCUCGAAAAUUUUGCGCAACUCGGACGAAAAUCCGGUAUCUCUCGCGGUAUAUUUUCGAUCCGUCACUUUUACUCGAUUUCUUGCACGAAGUUUCCGUGAGAUUCCGCCUCGUAUGUACAACACCGCUCGUACCGCGGCGUGAUGAAUCACUUAUGCUAAUCCGGGAAAUAGAAAGACCGAUUUCGGCGGUUCUAGUUCCUCACUAGAAGCAUUAAGUCCCGCACGAGCGUGUCACUCGGUCACGCGAUGACGGCCUCAUGAAUCAUCGGCGGGUAUACCCCCCUCCCCCCCCCUUUCCCCCCGCGUGAUUCCCCCACGGGGGUUGGAGGAGGUUGUGCAAUCCGAGCGGACGCGGUGGCGCGCGCUUCAUAUCGACGAAAUCUGAGCUAUCGGCGAGCGGGGUCGGUCACGGGGGCGGCAGGGGUGAAGGGGAUGCGUAUCGCGUGUCCUGGAUCAUCGGGUGAUCUCCUGGCCGAUCCUGGUACGUGGGAUACACGCGCGCGUAUGCCUUUGGGCCGCCCGAAACCGUAUUCGCGCUGAUUGCCGUCCGGCGAUCCGCGAUUAAUUUACUGCGUAAACGCGUGAAACCGGACCGAGCCGUUAAUUCCUAACUAUUAAUUGCCUCUCGGCCGCGGCAAAAUACAGAGGGGGAGACGCGUCUCGUUUGAGAAGAGUUUCUGCAAGGUAAUAUAAAUGAGGGGAAUCUAAAAUGCGUCGUUGUCGGCUUAAAGUGUUCGAUCUGACUCCGAUAGAAAAGUGAAGUUAAACGAAAAACGCUUAUUCUAAUAUGGACAUGAAUUUUUGGAGGUUAUUUUAAUAGAUAAUUUAAACAUCUUUUUUCAGAACGCCGUUCAUUAAAUUAGAUCCUCAGUAAGUUAACGAUAAUAAUGAUUUUAUUAAAUUAUGUCCUUAGUUAUUUGCUCUGCAAUUAUGCGAUUGCAUUCCCCGAUUGCAGAAAUACUUCAUUUUUUUUUUCAGAGCGUCUUUAAUUAUUCGCAUGUUUUCCUUGGCUCAAACGUCUUACGGAUCGUACGAGGUGUUUUUCUCAGAACGUGUCGCGAACUCCUUCCCGCAACCUAUCCUGAUCCGCAAAAAGGGUGGCGUAUUGUUUCAGGCUCUCCUUACGUAUCCGACGCACCUUUAUCGUGUAUUUUUAUUAGGAGUUAUUCUCCCCCUCCUCUCUUUUUUCCUCCUUCGCCAGUACCUCGCGUCGAUUCCUCUUUUGAAUCUUCUUCUACUCUUCCUCUCCCUUUCUAGCUCGGGGGGAUCGACGUAACGAUCCACUUAUGGAAAAUGCCACGGUAAAGGAAGAAAGGCUCUUGUCGCUCACUCGGACAUCAUCCCCCUCGCAACCCCUUUCUCUAUUCCUUCCUCUUCCCAUCCCUCAUCCCUACUCUGCUCCGUCGACCUGCUUAUCCCUCGUCCCCGUCCAUUCGCUAUUCUGCUUUUUUUUUUUCGGGGAAGAGAAUCCUCUUAGUCUUCUAGUGGCUCGUCGUCGUCCUCGCGCUCCUCGGAAUAUGCUUUAGGUUUAUAAAAUCGCGCCUAUAUAUUGCGAGCUUCGGUAACAGGUGCGCCUAUAGGGUGCCCCCAAAAAUAUAUUUGUAUAGGAAAAAGAAGGGAGUUGUUAGAUAUCGUUUCGUUCUUUUGUUUUUUAGAAAUAAUUGAGAAGAUAUUCCUGUGACAUAACUAUCCUUAUGGAAAUUUAUUAACAAAGAUUCGUUACUCGUUUUAGCUAAAAUUUCUUCAAAUAAGCAAUGUGAACAGAGCUAACAAAAAUCUGAAAAAAAUUGGGGUUAUAAACGAUGGAAUAUUAAUUAGUUUUGUCUUUCAUUAAUCUAGCAGCCUUCGCAUCUUAGUUAUGAAAAAAAGUUAAAAAAUUGUAGAACCAGAAUCCCUUUAUGUAAAUAUACUUUUAAUAAUUAAAACUAAUUUGGAACCGUCCAUCGUUAAAUCACUUCAACUAUGAGGUAUCCAAUCACUCUUAUAGUAUAGAUUUACACAUCGGAUAUAUUUCGUAAUCAAAUAUUCAAUUAUACUAUUUGAAAACUAUCCAAGGCAUACAAGUUACACUAAAGUCACAACAUUGAUAUUCCCACAUUUCUGAAAAUUAUUACAACACUUACAGGAUUUUCGAAUACAGACAGUAUAUAAACUAUAUAUAGACUUUCAGGUUCUUAAAGUUCUGGAAUUGUGUAAACUCAUAAAUUUCAAGAAGAUUCUAUUUUUUGAAAAGUCCGUAUUGGCAGAUGUCUUUUUUUACGUGAUUCUUUAAUGGGUGUUAAAUCAUUAACGUCAAUGCUUCUAUGUCAAGUCAAUUCCAUAAUUUGCCCAAAUUUCCCGCUUAUCCGCCGCUUAUAGAACGUCAUAAUCAAAUUGCACCUCGACUUACGUAAUUAAAGAAUCAAGGAUCUGUCGAUGGAUUUGUCGGAUCAUUCACUCUGAAAUUAAUUUGCAAAAUUGAAUCCGUUCUUAAAGGAAAAAAAAAAA